CAGCUGCCGAAGAACAAGGUCCCCAACAUGGCUGUGGUACUAAAGAGCAUCCUCCACACACACGCUGAUGCCAAGGCUGUGUUCGGGGAUCCCACAGGAGAGAUGCAGGGCACAGUGCACCGGCGCCUCCUAGAGGACAGACUAGGGGAGCUCAAGACAGGUGGGUGUGUUCUCUCCGUCCCAUCGUAACCACUACCUGAACGUGACGCCCAACAACCUCCUAAGGAUCUACCCCCC